rnacentral:misc_RNA from 1 species
GAUGAAGAACGUAGCGAAAUGCGAUAAGUAAUGUGAAUUGCAGAAUUCAGUGAAUCAUCGAGUCUUUGAACGCACAUUGCGCCCCCUGGUAUUCCGGGGGGCAAGCCUGUCCGAGCGUCAUUGCCGCCCUCAAGCACGGCUUGUGUGUUGGGCCCCCGCCCCCCGGCUUCGGGGGGCGGGCCCGAAAGGCAGCGGCGGCACCGCGUCCGGUCCUCGAGCGUAUGGGGCUUCGUCACCCGCUCUGUAGGCCCGGCCGGCGCCCGCCGGCGACCCCAAUCAAUCUUUCCAGGUUGACCUCGGAUCAGGUAGGGAUACCCGCUGAACUUAAGCAUAUCAAUAAGCGGAGGA